AGAACGAACGCUGGCGGCAGGCUUAACACAUGCAAGUCGAACGCUCGUAGCAAUACGGGAGUGGCAGACGGGUGAGUAACGCGUGGGAACAUACCCUCCGGUUCGGAAUAGCUCAGGGAAACUUGGAUUAAUACCGGAUACGGCCGAGAGGCGAAAGAUUUAUCGCCGGAGGAUUGGCCCGCGUUCGAUUAGCUAGUUGGUGAGGUAACGGCUCACCAAGGCGAUGAUCGAUAGCUGGUCUGAGAGGAUGAUCAGCCACAUUGGGACUGAGACACGGCCCAAACUCCUACGGGAGGCAGCAGUGGGGAAUAUUGGACAAUGGGCGCAAGCCUGAUCCAGCCAUGCCGCGUGAGUGAUGACGGCCUUAGGGUUGUAAAGCUCUUUCGCUCGGGACGAUAAUGACGGUACCGAGAUAAGAAGCCCCGGCUAACGUUCGCGCCAGCAGCGC
rnacentral:rRNA from 1 species